GGAGGUAUGGGUGAGUGGUCUAAACCAGAGUCCUGCUAAGACUCCGGGCCUCAAAAGGGUCCCGCUGGUUCGAAUCCAGCUGCCUCCG
rnacentral:tRNA from 1 species